rnacentral:rRNA from 1 species
UACGUAGGGGGCAAGCGUUGUCCGGAUUUAUUGGGCGUAAAGAGCGUGUAGGCGGUUAUGCAGGUCCGCUGUGAAAACUGGAGGCUUAACCUCCAGACGUCGGUGGAAACCAUUUAGCUAGAGUCCGGAAGAGGAGAGUGGAAUUCCUGGUGUAGCGGUGAAAUGCGCAGAUAUCAGGAAGAACACCAAUGGCGAAAGCAGCUCUCUGGGACGGUACUGACGCUGAGACGCGAAAGCGUGGGGAGCGAACAGG